rnacentral:lncRNA from 1 species
GAACGUUUAAUGAGCAUUGCAUUUGUUUUUAUGAAGAAACCAGAAGAUUCGUCAAAUGUCUUUUAUAUUUUGUGACUUUUGUGCUAUAUUAAAUGAAGUCAUUGCAACAAAUGCAUAGUGAAACGUUCUUUCGUUUGCCGAGAAUGAUCUUGGUUCUCGGCUAUUAGUGGGUAUUUAAGCAGGACCCUUCAACUCAAGCAAAAUUUAUCUUCAAAUAUUAUAAUAUCGAUAUAAACACCUGUCUUCAUUACAUCUAUGAUGCUGUAUCCUCAUAUAUUGUGUUUUAAGCAUAUAUGUGUAAAGCUUACAAUUCACUUGGAACAAAAAAAAAA